rnacentral:tRNA from 1 species
GAGUCCGUGGCUCAAUGGCUAGGGCGUUUGACUUCGAAUCAACAGGUCGCGGGUUCA